GAUAAGUGCCAGUCAUUUUAAGAAUAAUGACUGGACAGGUAAACUCUGCUGACCCCUAGUAAUAACAAGAGCAAAUGAAAAUGAGGUGGCCACGUUGGAAAAUCCUUCUGGGCUUCUGCUUUGUGGGGAGAGAGGCAGCAAAGAUCUCCUGGAGCCGACAACUUGCCUGGGUUGAUAUCUCUGGCAUAUGAACGCGAACACUGUUCACACUCCAAGGCAUUUUGCCAUUUGAGUGACCAAGUUUGGUUGCAAAAAUCUCAAUACAGAUGAUCAAGUUUUA